rnacentral:rRNA from 1 species
GGAAGCCUGAACCAGCCAUGCCGCGUGCAGGAUGACGGCCCUACGGGUUGUAAACUGCUUUUGCGCGGGACGAAUAACCCCCUCGUGAGGGGGGAUGCCGGUACCGCGCGAAUAAGAUCGGCUAACUCCGUGCCAGCAGCCGCGGUAAUACGGAGGAUCCGAGCGUUAUCCGGAUUUACUGGGUUUAAAGGGUGCGUAGGCGGGCGCCUAAGUCAGCGGUGAAAUGCAGCGGCUCAACCGUUGAGCUGCCGUUGAUACUGGGCGCCUUGAAUUCGGUCGAGGCCGGCGGAAUGCGCGGUGUAGCGGUGAAAUGCUUAGAUAUCGCGCAGAACGCCGAUUGCGAAGGCAGCUGGCCGGGCCGAGAUUGACGCUGAGGCACGAAAGCGUGGGGAUCAAACAGGAUUAGAUACCCUGGUAGUCCACGCCGUAAACGAUGAUGGCUGGAUGUUGGCGAUACACCGUCAGCG